rnacentral:rRNA from 1 species
UACGUAGGGGGCAAGCGUUGUCCGGAAUCAUUGGGCGUAAAGAGCGCGUAGGCGGUCCGGUAAGUCGGUUGUGAAAACUCGAGGCUUAACCUCGAGAUGUCGGCGGAAACCAUCUGGCUAGAGUCCGGAAGAGGAGAGUGGAAUUCCUGGUGUAGCGGUGAAAUGCGCAGAUAUCAGGAAGAACACCCGUGGCGAAGGCGGCUCUCUGGGACGGUACUGACGCUGAGACGCGAAAGCGUGGGGAGCGAACAGG